rnacentral:lncRNA from 1 species
GAUCCAUGUGUAUUUUAGUGUGGAAACGGCCACCCAGUGCCUUCUGACCUUCUCCCACCCAGACAGUUGUCCAGUUCUGUGCCUGAAACACUCUGCCUCUUUCCUGUUCGCUGGGCUGGGGAAUGGAAAAGUUGCCGUUUAAGCUCAAAAGAGUGGAGCACUCCCUAAAGCAGAUGUGACUGUGUGCAGUGGCCCCAUCCGCACCCUCCUAAUCCUGGAGAACACUUUGUGAGCCAGUUGUGCCAACUUCGUCACCGUCAUCCAGGGCUCCAGCUUCCACCUCCAGGUGGGCAAAACACAUCCUUCUAUACACCCUCAUUUACACAGGGCUGAAGGAAAGGGAGGGAGAGGGAGGGAAGGAUAGGAAAAGAAUAGAGACUAUGGCCUUUUCUCAAUUAGAUUUGCUAAAUUCCUUCGUCCUCUCUCCUCUGUCCUCUCGCCUCCUUUUGAAGAAGGUCAAAGGUAAUCAAGGAGAGGCGGCAAGGAGAGUGAACGUGGACGAAAAUGCGCUUGUAUGAAAUGAGAAGCUUCUUCUCCACUCGCGUCAUCAGGCAUAUUACGUUUACAGGGGUGGAUCCCAAAAUAAAUGUGUAAAGUGAUGAAAACGAAUUAGGUUAGUUGUGCAAGACAUUUCAUAGAUAAAAGGACAAGUAAUAUGUUUUUUUUGUGGAGGACCAUCUUUCGUUUGCCUACUAACGAAUUGACACACUCCUCGACCACUUAUCGGUUUCCGGAUCACAGAGGACAGAGGACGGAGAAGAGAGGAUGGAGGACAGACUUUUGCCCAAAUGUGAAAAGGUCUAUAUGACACUGGAAAGGAUAGGUUUUAAUACUGUAUGAUACUGUAGCUAGUAUGAAGAGGACACAUGCAUUGACAACCUCACACAACCACUCCUCUCCGUCUCUCAAUCAGAACACCUCUCUUUCUCAAGCACUCACUCUGUCUUACUCAUUCACCCCACCCCCCCCCCCCUCUCGUCUGAGGUUCGAGGCGUACCUAGAGCACCUACAUGAGAUCACCAGCACGAGAUCAACACGCUCCAUAUUCCUCAGCCCAGGUCAGCAGUGCAGCGUCCGGGUCACUAGCCUACUCAUCUGCCAGGGGCUGCUGUGGGUGGGCACCGCCCAGGGUAUCAGGUCUUCCCGUUGCGUUGGUGUGACUGGCUGUAUUGAGUUAUAACUUUCCAAUAAAACCAAUCAAUCAACCAAAUCAAAUUUUAAAAAAUCUAAUUUUAUUGGUCACAUACACAUGUUUAGCAGAUGUUAUUGCGGGUGUAGCGAAAUGCUUGUGCUUCUAGUUCCGACAGUGCAGCAACAAGUAAUAUCUAACAAUUUCACAACAUAUACCAAAUACACACAAAUCCAAGUAAAGGAAUGGAAUUAAGAAUAUAUAAAUAUAGGAACGAGCAAUGUCAGAGCGGCAUAGACUAAGAUACAGUAAAAUAGUAUAGAAUACAGCAUAUACAUAUGAGAUGAGCAAUGCAACAAAUGUAAACAUUAUUAAAGUGGCAUUAUUAAAGUGACAAGUGUUCCAUUUGUUAAAGUGGCCAAUGAUUUCAAGUCUGUGUAUUUAGGCGGCAGCCUCUCUGUGCUAGUGAUGGCUAUUUAGCAGUCUGGUGGCUUUGAGAUAGAAGCUGUUUUUCAGUCUCUCGGUUCCAGCUUUGAUGCACCUGUAAUGACUUCGCCUUCUGGAUGAUAGCGGGGUGAACAGGCAGUGGCUUGGGUGGUUGUUGUCCUUGAUGAUCUUUUAGGCCUUCCUGUGACAUCGGGUGCUGUAGGUGUCCUGGAGGGCAGGUAGUUUUUCCCCGGUGAUGCAUUGCGCGGUUGCACCAUCCUCUGGAGAACCUUGCGGUUGUGGGUGGUGCAGUUGCCGUACCAGGCGGUGAUCAGCCCGACCGGAUGCUCUCAAUUGUGGGUGACAGGUAAGAUGGAGGUGAUAUGAUCCUUGAUCCUUGACUAGUCUCUCAAAGCACUUCAUAAUGACAGAGGUGAGUGCAACGGGACAAUAGUCAUUUAGUUCAGUUACCUUUGCAUACUUAUGUACAUGAACAAUGGUGGCCAUCUUGAAGCAUGUGGGGACAACAGACUGGGAGAGGGCGAGAUAGAAUAUGUCCGUAAACACUCCUGCCAGCUGGUCUGCGCAUGCUCUGAGGACACGGCUAGGGAUGCCAUCUGAGCUGGUAGCCUUGCGAGGGUUAACAUGUUUAAAUGUCUUACUCACAACGGCCACGGAGAAGGAGAGCGGGCCGCGAUGGCACUGUGUUAUCCUCAAAGCGGGCAAAGAACGUAUUAAGCUUGUCCGGAAGCAAGGCGUCGGUGUCCGCAACGUGGCUGGUUUUCCUUUUGCAGUCCAUGAUUGUCUGUAGACCCUGCCACAUACGUCUCAUGUCUGAGCCAUUGCAGUGUGACAUUUUGUCUCUAUACUGAUGUUUUGCCUGUUUGAUUGCCUUACGGAGGGAAUGACUACUCUGUACUCUUCCAUAUUCCCAGUCACCUAUCCAUGUUUAAAUGCGGGGGUUCGCGCUUUCAGUUUUGCACGAAUGCUGCCAUCUAUCCACGGUUUCUGGUUAGGGUAGGUUUUAUUAGUCACAGUGGGUACAACAGUGGGUACAAUUUCCUAUACACUUCCUGAUAAACUAAGUUACUGUUUCAGUGAAUUUGUCAAUAUUAUUCUCUGAAGCUACCAGGAACAUAUCCCAGUCCGCGUGAUUAAAACAAUUUUGAAGCGUGGAUUCCGAUUGGUCAGACCAGCGUUGAAUAGUUCUUAGCACGGGUACUUCCUGUUUGAGUUUCUGCCUAUAGGAAGGGAGGAGCAAAAUAGAGUCGUGGUCAGAUUUGCCGAAAGGAGGGCGGUGGAGGGCCUUGUAUUAUCCCGGAUAAAGUUGGAGUAACAGUGGUCUAGUGUUUUAGCAGAGUACUACAGUCGAUAUGCUGAUAGAAUUUAGGCAGUCUUUUCCUCAAAUUUGAUUCGUUAAAAUCCCCAGCUACAAUAACUGAAGCCUCAGGAUAAAUGGUUUCCAUGUUGGAAUAAAGUCCAGUAAAGUUCCUUGAGGGCCGUCGUGGUAUCGGCUUGAGGGGGGCUGUACACGGCCGUGACUAUAAUCAAAGUAAAUUCCCUUGGGAGAUAAUAUGGUUUGCAUUUGAUUGUGAGGUGUUCUAGGUCGGGUGAACAAAUGGACUUGAGUUUCUGUAUGUUAUCACAAUUACACCAUGAGUCAUUAAUCAUGAAACAUACACCCCCGCCCUUCUUCUUCCCGGAGAGAUGUUUAUUCCUGUUGUCUCGAUGAACAGAGAAUCCAGAUGGCUGGACUGACUGCGACAGUAUAUCCAGAGAGACAUGUUUCUGUGAAACAGAGUAUGUUACAAUCCCUGAUGUCUCUGGAAAGAAACCCUUGCCCUUUGUUAUCCAGGGACUGAACAUUAGCGAGUAAUAUACUCGGAAGCGGUGGGUGGUGUGCGCACCUCCUAAGUCGGCGUUGUUUUGGGUCGGCCUCUGGAAUCAGUUCAAUUGCCCUGGGUGGUGCGAACAAAGGAUCCGCUUUGGGAAAGUCGUAUUCCUGGUUGCAAUGCUGGUAGUGCUGGUGAGUUACUGCCACUCUGAUAUCCAAUAGUUCUUCCCAGCUGUAUGUAAUAAGACAUAACAUUUUCUGGGCUAACAAUGAAAGAAAUAAUACAUUAAAAAAAACAUCUGCAAAGUUUCCUAAGAACUAUAAGCGAGGCAGCCCUCUCUGUCGGCGCCAUCUUGACUGUGUCCAACCAACCAACCCACCCACCAAUCAACCAAUCAACCUGUGUUUUCUAACCGAGGCCUUGUGUGCUCCUCCCCUCAGGACGGCUCCAACUACGACCAUCUAAGACCCUGACGUGUGGGUGCGGGGGCAGCCCCCAGCCAGGGAGGAGAGCGGGAAAGUCAAGGUGACCUCGGCUGCCACAGGUUGUCCCGUAGGCUUAGGGAGUGGACUGCAGCAGCCAAUGGGGUCCCAGAUGAAAGUACGCUCAUGAUUUGGCAACGCCCACUAGCAGUGAGCCCAUGAGGAUAAAAAGUCUGAUUGGAUGUUGUGAGAGCUGGCUCCUCUCACUCACCUGAUGUAUUGCGUUAUCUAGUAAGAAGAGACACUAUUAAGCAAAAUAUUUCAGGAUGGUAGACUAGACUGAUUCAGGAAGGGCUAUACACUAUGGUACAUUCCUCUACUACCAUGGUGGUUGGAUCUCUGGGUGGAGUCUAGUGGUGUGCUGCUGCUUCAAACUCUGACAUGUUUCAGGCCCUGGGGCAACGUUAUAGUCCCAUCUGAGGGAACUCUAAACUCUUAACAUGCACUCUUCCAACCAGAUGCUGCUUCAGUCUGGCAGAUCUAGACCCGGGGAUCUUGUCAAAUGUGAUUUGAGGAGGCUCACCCAAUAUGACUUUGCAUACAUUUUAAGCGUGUUCUUAGAAAAAGGGUAAUUGACAAUUAAUUGAAAAGUGACAGUUAUGAACAUAAGAUUGGAUUUGCUUGUUGUCUUUCUAUUUCACUCAUUUUGCCAGUGGAUCAUGUGUUUUGCUAACACAGAACAUGACAGCUAGUAUUGUAUAGGCAGGGUGUAUGGAGGCAUGUGUAUAAAUGACUUAUAAAACAGUUACAACCCCUUAACUAAAUCAUUGUGAUUCUUGCUAGUCUUAAACAAAUCUAUUUUGAAAAAAAGUAUAUACCUCACACACACAUUUAUGGGCUUAAAAAAAGAAGACACCUGUACCAUGUCAGAUAUAGAGUUGACAUGUUCGGGCAGCAUUUGGCGGUCGACGUCACUGGCUUUCUAGCUACUGCCGAUCCACUUUUCAUUUUCCAUUCGUUUUGUCUUUGUUUCACACACCUGUUGUCAAUCCCACAAUCACUUGUUCCUCAUUUAACCCUCUGUUCCCCACAUGUUUUUUGUGAGUGAUUGUUUAUUUGUAAUUUCGGUCCGUCUGUGUGUGCUCAAGAUGUUACUUUGUAUGUUUGUCUUUUUUGAGUAAAGCACGUUUAUUUACUCGUAUCUGCUGUCCUGCGCCUGACUCCCUCACCAGCUACACACAGGACUCAUUACAAAUUUUGAGUUUGCAUCCUAAUAUUACACUUUGUAUACAUCACAGAAGACUGAAAUAUAACAAAACUGUUUGACAUAGAAAGAUCGGUUUUGUCAGUUUUUUUUUCUACAAUUAGCUUUAUUAAUUAUGAAAUUAUGAGAAAUAUUAAUACAAUUCCACCCAUGAGGCCAAAGAGGGCACUUUUGGUGAUUGACUGCAGGACAGGGCUACAGUGUACAUUAAUGGAAUGUGUUACCAGUGAACUUAAUGUAAAAUAUAGGUACAGCACACCACUGAUAUGUAUCCCACUUUUGGGAGAAAGGGAAUUCUACAUAUACAAUUUGUCAUAAAUCAACUUGAUGGUCAACAUACUCUGUGUAAUAAUGUCCUGUACUUUUAUUCUGCGAGAAUUGUUUUAAAUGUCCUGGUUUCCAUUUCAAUAAACACACUGUUUAUUGAAGGAACUUAUUUGAAGAUACUUAUUGGACAGUUCGUUUUACAGUGUCAUGUUAUUGGAAUAAAUAGUUAAUGGUCUUCAAGCUCUUCAUUUUUGCUAAUUUGGGAUUUUUGCAAACUCAGUGAAUGACUUUGGGGAGGCAGUUGAGGUACAAGCUAAGAUACUGUUAUCUUGGACACAGUGCGGGCUACAUGCUUUUUCCCCCUCAUCGUAUGUCCCUAUUUUAU